UCCCUCUUAGCUCAGUGGUAGAGCGCGUCACUAGUACGCGACAUUCGGCUGUACGUCGGGACAGAGUACAUGACGAGGUCAUCUGUUCGAUCCAGGUAGCGGGAA